AUUGAACGCUGGCGGCAGGCCUAACACAUGCAAGUCGAACGAGUGGCGGACGGGUGAGUAAUGUCUGGGCAACUGCCUGAUGGAGGGGGAUAACUACUGGAAACGGUAGCUAAUACCGCAUACCAUCAGAUGUGCCCAGAUGGGAUUAGCUUGUUGGUGGGGUACCGGCUCACCAAGGCGACGAUCCCUAGCUGGUCUGAGAGGAUGACCAGCAACACGGGAAUGGAGACACGGUCCAGACUCCUACGGGAGGCAGCAGUGGGGAAUAUUGCACAAGGGGCGCAAGCCUGAUGCAGCCAGGCCGCGUGUAUGAAGAAGGCCUUCGGGUUUUAAAGUACUUUCAGCGGGGAGGCGUUACCUGCUGAAGAAGCACCGGCUAACUCCGUGCCAGCAGCCGCGGUAAUUC
rnacentral:rRNA from 1 species